GCCUGGGUGGUUCUGUCGGUUAAGCAUCUGACUUCAGCUCAGGUCAUGAUCUCACAGUUUGUGGGUUCAAGCCCCACAUCGGGCU
rnacentral:tRNA from 1 species